rnacentral:rRNA from 1 species
CCUACGGGAGGCAGCAGUGGGGAAUAUUGCACAAUGGGCGGAACCCUGAUCCAGCGACGCCGCGUGAGUGAAGAAGUAUCUCGGUAUGUAAAGCUCUAUCAGCAGGGAAGAAAAUGACGGUACCUGACUCAGAAGCCCCGGCUAACUACGUGCCAGCAGCCGCGGUAAUACGUAGGGGGCAAGCGUUAUCCGGAUUUACUGGGUGUAAUGGGAGCGUAGAAGGUGCUGCAAGUCCGUUGUGAAAGGCCAUGGCCCAACCCUGGUACUGCAGUGGAAACUGUCGAGCUUGAGUGCAGGAGAGGUAGGCGGAAUUCCUAGUGUAGCGGUGAAAUGCGUAGAUAUUAGGAGGAACACCGGUGGCGAAGGCGGCCUACUGGACUGUAACUGACGUUGAGGCUCGAAAGCGUGGGGAGCAAACAGGAUUAGAUACCCUGGUAGUC